UAUGUUGCAUACUAAUUUACUUAUUUACUAAUUUACAAAUUUACCAAUUUACAAAAUUACUAAUUCCAUCCAUACACACACACACACACAGGAGGCGAAGUGCGUGAUAUGCUGAGUUUUGACGUGAUCCGUCCCCAAGACAACGUCAUUGCCCUUUGUGCUUCUUCUGCUUUUUUUUUUCUUUUUAAAUUAAACCAAACAAAAAAAAAC
rnacentral:ribozyme from 12 species